rnacentral:pre_miRNA from 1 species
AGUGGGGUAGCUGGGUCAAAUGGUUUUCCCAGUUUUCUGAGGAAUCUCCAUACUGCUUUCCAGAGUGGUUGUACCAAUUUGCAGUCCCACCAGCAAU